UACGUAGGGGGCAAGCGUUGUCCGGAAUUAUUGGGCGUAAAGAGCUCGUAGGCGGUCUGUCGCGUCUGCUGUGAAAACUCGGGGCUUAACCCCGGGCCUGCAGUGGGUACGGGCAGACUAGAGUGCGGUAGGGGAGUCUGGAAUUCCUGGUGUAGCGGUGAAAUGCGCAGAUAUCAGGAGGAACACCGGUGGCGAAGGCGGGUCUCUGGGCCGUAACUGACGCUGAGGAGCGAAAGCAUGGGGAGCGAACAGG
rnacentral:rRNA from 1 species